rnacentral:rRNA from 1 species
UGCGAAGGGGGGCUAGCGUUGCUCGGAAUCACUGGGCGUAAAGCGCACGUAGGCGGCUUGUUAAGUCAGGGGUGAAAUCCUGGAGCUCAACUCCAGAACUGCCUUUGAUACUGGCGAGCUUGAGACCGGAAGAGGUGAGUGGAACUGCGAGUGUAGAGGUGAAAUUCGUAGAUAUUCGCAAGAACACCAGUGGCGAAGGCGGCUCACUGGCCCAUUACUGACGCUGAGGCACGAAAGCGUGGGGAGCAAACAGG